GUGUGGGCACCCGGGGCUGGGGACAGGGCAGGGCUGGGACAGCGGGAUGGGACAGCAGGGCUGUGGAUGCAGCGUCCAUCCUGUGUCCAUCCCUGUGUCCAUCCCUCUGUCCAUCCUGUGUCCAUCCCUCUGUCCAUCCCUGUCCAUCCCUGUGUCCAUCCUGUGUCCAUCCCUCUGUCCAUCCCUGUGUCCCUCCCUGUCCCCCCCAUGUCCCUCCCUGUCCAUCCCUGUGUCCAUCCUCUGUCCAUCCCUGUGUCCAUCCCUGUCCAUCCUCUGUCCAUCCCUGUGUCCAUCCCUCUGUCCAUCCUGUGUCCAUCCCUGUGUCCAUCCCUGUGUCCAUCCCUGUCCAUCCCUGUGUCCAUCCUGUGUCCAUCCCUCUGUCCAUCCGUGUGUCCAUCCCAGUCCAUCCUCUGUCCAUCCCUGUCCCUCCCUGUCCAUCCCAUCCAUCCUGUGUCCAUCCCUCUGUCCAUCCCUGUCCAUCCCUGUGUCCCUCCCUGUCCCCCCCAUGUCCCUCCCUGUCCAUCCCUGUGUCCAUCCCUCUGUCCAUCCCUCUGUCCCCCCCAUGUCCCUCCCUGUCCAUCCCUCUGUCCAUCCCUGUCCGUCCCUCUGUCCGUCCCUGUCCCCUCCCCGCAGUGCCCAGAAGUGCCUGAUCCAGCCCAGCCCCCGCUGCCGCAGAAUUUGGGGCUGGGGGUUCCCAAAUCCCCCC
rnacentral:lncRNA from 1 species